rnacentral:rRNA from 1 species
GAUGAACGCUGGCGGCGUGCCUAAUACAUGCAAGUCGAGCGAACGGACGAGAAGCUUGCUUCUCUGAUGUUAGCGGCGGACGGGUGAGUAACACGUGGAUAACCUACCUAUAAGACUGGGAUAACUUCGGGAAACCGGAGCUAAUACCGGAUAAUAUUUUGAACCGCAUGGUUCAAAAGUGAAAGACGGUCUUGCUGUCACUUAUAGAUGGAUCCGCGCUGCAUUAGCUAGUUGGUAAGGUAACGGCUUACCAAGGCAACCAUGCAUAGCCGACCUGAGAGGGUGAUCGGCCACACUGGAACUGAGACACGGUCCAGACUCCUACGGGAGGCAGCAGUAGGGAAUCUUCCGCAAUGGGCGAAAGCCUGACGGAGCAACGCCGCGUGAGUGAUGAAGGUCUUCGGAUCGUAAAACUCUGUUAUUAGGGAAGAACAUAUGUGUAAGUAACUGUGCACAUCUUGACGGUACCUAAUCAGAAAGCCACGGCUAACUACGUG